UCUCCUGGAAACGGGUGGUAAUACCGGAUGCUCCGCUCCAUCGCAUGGUGGGGUGGGAAAUGCUUUUGCGGCAUGGGAUGGGGUCGCGUCCUAUCAGCUUGUUGGCGGGGUGAUGGCCCACCAAGGCGUUGACGGGUAGCCGGCCUGAGAGGGUGACCGGCCACAUUGGGACUGAGAUACGGCCCAGACUCCUACGGGAGGCAGCAGUGGGGAAUAUUGCACAAUGGGCGCAAGCCUGAUGCAGCGACGCCGCGUGCGGGAUGGAGGCCUUCGGGUUGUAAACCGCUUUUGUUCAAGGGCAAGGCACGGUUUCGGCCGUGUUGAGUGGAUUGUUCGAAUAAGCACCGGCUAACUACGUGCCAGCAGCCGCGGUAAUACGUAGGGUGCGAGCGUUAUCCGGAUUUAUUGGGCGUAAAGGGCUCGUAGGCGGUUCGUCGCGUCCGGUGUGAAAGUCCAUCGCCUAACGGUGGAUCUGCGCCGGGUACGGGCGGGCUGGAGUGCGGUAGGGGAGACUGGAAUUCCCGGUGUAACGGUGGAAUGUGUAGAUAUCGGGAAGAACACC
rnacentral:rRNA from 1 species